UGGCGACCGGCGCACGGGUGAGUAACGCGUAUCCAACCUGCCCUUUACUAUGGGACAGCCCGUCGAAAGGCGGAUUAAUACCGUACGUUGUCAUGUUGAUGCAUAUUUUCAUGACCAAAGGCUUCGGCCGGUAAAGGAUGGGGAUGCGUCUGAUUAGCUUGCCGGCGGGGUAACGGCCCACCGGGGCGACGAUCAGUAGGGGUUCUGAGAGGAAGGUCCCCCACAUUGGAACUGAGACACGGUCCAAACUCCUACGGAAGGCAGCAG
rnacentral:rRNA from 1 species